rnacentral:rRNA from 1 species
CCUACGGGUGGCAGCAGUGAGGAAUAUUGGUCAAUGGACGAGAGUCUGAACCAGCCAAGUAGCGUGAAGGAUGACUGCCCUAUGGGUUGUAAACUUCUUUUAUAUGGGAAUAAAAUGUUCCACGUGUGGGUUUUUGUAUGUACCAUAUGAAUACGGAUCGGCUAACUCCGUGCCAGCAGCCGCGGUAAUACGGAGGAUCCGAGCGUUAUCCGGAUUUAUUGGGUUUAAAGGGAGCGUAGAUGGAUUGUUAAGUCAGUUGUGAAAGUGUGCGGCUCAACCGUAAAAUUGCAGUUGAGACUGGCAGUCUUGAGUACAGUAGAGGUAGGCGGAAUUCGUGGUGUAGCGGUGAAAUGCUUAGAUAUCACGAAGAACUCCGAUGGCGAAGGCAGCUUACUGGACUGCCACUGACAUUGAGGCUCGAAAGUGUGGGUAUCAAACAGGAUUAGAUACCCUUGUAGUC